rnacentral:rRNA from 1 species
CCUACGGGAGGCAGCAGUGGGGAAUCUUGCGCAAUGGGCGAAAGCCUGACGCAGCGACGCCGCGUGAGCGAUGAAGGCCUUCGGGUUGUAAAGCUCUGUCAGAGGGGAAGAUUAUGACGGUACCCUCAGAGGAAGCCCCGGCUAACUACGUGCUAGCAGCCGCGGUAAGACGUAGGGGGCUAGCGUUGUCCGGAAUCACUGGGCGUAAAGGGCGUGUAGGCGGCUUGGCAAGUCAGUGGUGUAAGACCUGGGCUCAACCGAGGUAUUGCCAUUGAAACUGCCUGGCUUGAGGGUAGAAGAGGAGUGUGGAAUUCCCGGUGUAGCGGUGAAAUGCGUAGAGAUCGGGAGGAACACCAGUGGCGAAGGCGACACUCUGGUCUACACCUGACGCUGAGGCGCGAAAGCUAGGGGGGCAAACAGGAUUAGAUACCCUGGUAGUCCUAGCCGUAAACGAUGGGCACUAGGUGUAGGGGGUUUAGAUACCUUCUGUGCCGUAGCUAACGCAUUAAGUGCCCCGCCUGGGGAGUACGGUCGCAAGGCUGAAACUCAAAUGAAUUGACGG